rnacentral:rRNA from 1 species
UACAGAGGGUGCGAGCGUUAUUCGGAAUUACUGGGCGUAAAGCGUGCGUAGACGGUUAUUUAAGUCUGGCGUGAAAGCCCCGGGCUCAACCUGGGAAUUGCAUUCGAGACUGAAUAGCUAGGGUACGGUAGAGGGAAGUGGAAUUUCCGGUGUAGCGGUGAAAUGCGUAGAUAUCGGAAGGAACAUCAGUGGCGAAAGCGACUUCCUGGACCAGUACCGACGUUCAGGCACGAAAGCGUGGGGAGCAAACAGG